rnacentral:sRNA from 1 species
UGAGGGAGACGGAGAGAGCAAGAGAGAGAGAGAGAGAGAGAGAGAGAGAGAGAGAGAGAGAGAGAGAGAGUUGAAAACACAAGCUCUGUCUCCGGUGACAACA